rnacentral:rRNA from 1 species
GAUGAACGCUAGCGGGAGGCCUAACACAUGCAAGCCGAGCGGUAUGGUUUCUUCGGAAAUGAGAGAGCGGCGUACGGGUGCGUAACACGUGUGCAACCUGCCUUUAUCUGGGGGAGAGCCUUUCGAAAGGAAGAUUAAUACUCCAUAAUAUAUUGAACGGCAUCGUUUAAUAUUGAAAGCUCCGGCGGAUAGAGAUGGGCACGCGCAAGAUUAGCUAGUUGGUGAGGUAACGGCUCACCAAGGCGAUGAUCUUUAGGGGGCCUGAGAGGGUGAUCCCCCACACUGGUACUGCGACACGGACCAGACUCCUACGGGAGGCAGCAGUGCGGAAUAUUGGUCAAUGGGUGCAAGCCUGAACCAGCCAUCCCGCGUGAAGGACGACUGCCCUAUGGGUUGUAAACUUCUUUUGUAUAGGGAUAAACCUACCCUCGAGAGGGUAGCUGAAGGUACUAUACGAAUAAGCACCGGCUAACUCCGUG